CAGACAUCCUCUGGUGGCUGUGCCACACUGAGGUCCCCUGGAAGUCUUGCUUUGUACUCUCAUUGCUGUUACGUUUAUGCUUCAUCUAUAAAUUCUAUUUAAAUCAGCAUCAUGUUUGAGAUUAGAUCAGCAUGCUUUCCUAAGUGAAUACUUUGCUGCUUCAGUCUAUAAAAGAGAAAACUCCAGAUAUGAAUCACCCAACUCAGGGAAUUUGUGCAAUAAAAGCUUCUGAGGCAAGAACCUACCUCAUAAGAAAUGGAGCUUGGUGUUACAAACCAAGGGAGCGCGAGGGAGCACGACUGCAAAACCCCCACAGAGCCAACCCACAGCACCACGGGUUGGAACACAUUGCAGAUCUGCUCUGCUGUGAACCUGCAGCUGCUCUUUGGAGACAAGAACGAAGCCUGAAGGGGAAAAUACCAACAUGAUAACAAGAUGGUUCUUCUUCUACCACCACAUUUAAUGUUCACACCAUCCAGAUCAAUUAAGGAAAAUCAAUGAAGAGUUCCUUUAUAAUUUACUAUGGGAUGCACAAUCCUUUACCUUCUGUCCCCCGUCUACAACACCACCACAUUUCCCCACGUGGUCUGGGGAUGCUGACCCCUCCUGAAUAAACUCGGCCAUUGGGUGAUCAGAAAAGCAUCAGCUCAGCAGUUCAGUGGGAUAAUUGAGAUAGCAUCAGGACGACAGCUCUCCUCAGAAACCAGACAGCGAUACGAAACAAGAAAGACACAACUCGGGCUCAGAUAAGACAGCAUUGCAGAUUAAAGGAAUUGAGAUAAACAGGAUUUUAAGUGACCCCAACAUUUAUGGGAACAGAACGUACCCCCCUGCAGACCGCUUCCAACUUAAUCCCACUGUAAUAUCUCAAAGGUUAACAAAACACACGCUGCCACAAUUAA